GGAUAUAGCUCAGUUGGUAGAGUGCUUGCCUUUCAUAUGCAAGGUCCUGGGUUUAAUCCUCAGCACCG
rnacentral:tRNA from 1 species